rnacentral:rRNA from 1 species
UACGGAGGGAGCUAGCGUUGUUCGGAAUUACUGGGCGUAAAGCGCGCGUAGGCGGCCUUGCAAGUUAGAGGUGAAAGCCCGGAGCUCAACUCCGGAACUGCCUUUAAAACUGCAUAGCUUGAAUCCGGGAGAGGUGAGUGGAAUUCCGAGUGUAGAGGUGAAAUUCGUAGAUAUUCGGAAGAACACCAGUGGCGAAGGCAGCUCACUGGACCGGUAUUGACGCUGAGGUGCGAAAGCGUGGGGAGCAAACAGG